rnacentral:tRNA from 1 species
AGGGGUGUAAUUAAGCACAACAUUUGGGUUGCAUUCAAAAAGUAUUGAGUAUAUCAAUCACCCUUA